AACAAACAUUAAUUGAUUUAAUCAAUCUUAAUUUCGACUUAAGCUUAGAAGAUAACUUCAAUGUUUU
rnacentral:tRNA from 1 species